rnacentral:ncRNA from 18 species
UUAUCCUUAAAGCCGACAGGUUUGACACAUUUGUGUCAGGGAAGGGGGUGAAAAUCCCCCGCAGCCCCCGCUGCUGUGAUGCUGACGACCCCGUAAAAACCACUGAUCGCGAGAUUGGGAAGGACGGGCGAGGACGACGCUAAGCCAGAAGACCUGCCUGUCGGAAACGUUCAACA